AUACGGAGGAUGCGAGCGUUAUCCGGAUUUAUUGGGUUUAAAGGGUGCGCAGGCGGCCAUUUAAGUCAGCGGUUAAAUCGUGGGGCUCAACCCCAUUCUGCCGUUGAUACUGGGUGGCUUGAUUGCGGUCGAGGUUGGCGGAAUUCGUUGUGUAGCGGUGAAAUGCAUAGAUAUGACGAAGAACACCGAUUGCGUAGGCAGCUGACCAGACCGCAAAUGACGCUCAUGCACGAAAGUGCGGGGAUCGAACAGGAUUAGAUGCCCUGGUAGUCCGCACAGUAAACGAUGAAUACUUGUUUUCGGCGAUAUAAUGUCGGAGGCAAAGCGAAAGCGAUAAGUAUUCCACCUGGGGAGUACGCCGGCAACGGUGAAACUCAAAGGAAUUGACGGGG
rnacentral:rRNA from 1 species